CACUCUGCCACUGAACCCAGGGCAAGCCGGGUCCCUGAGCCCCGAGUCCAGGGAGGGCAGCCACCCUGGGUGUGGUGGGCAACAGGCCUCCCGGCCCCAC